rnacentral:rRNA from 1 species
UGGGGAAUAUUGCACAAUGGGCGCAAGCCUGAUGCAGCCAUGCCGCGUGUUUGAAGAAGGCCUUCGGUUUGUAAAGCACUUUCAGCGGGGAGGAAGGCGUUAAGGUUAAUAACCUUGGCGAUUGACGUUACCCGCAGAAGAAGCACCGGCUAACUCCGUGCCAGCAGCCGCGGUAAUCCGGAGGGUGCAAGCGUUAAUCGGAAUUACUGGGCGUAAAGCGCACGCAGGCGGUCUGUCAAGUCGGAUGUGAAAUCCCCGGGCUCAACCUGGGAACUGCAUUCGAAACUGGCAGGCUAGAGUCUUGUAGAGGGGGGUAGAAUUCCAGGUGUAGCGGUGAAAUGCGUAGAGAUCUGGAGGAAUACCGGUGGCGAAGGCGGCCCCCUGGACAAAGACUGAAGCUCAGGUGCGAAAGCGUGGGGAGCAAACAGG